rnacentral:rRNA from 1 species
UAAAGAUUCAUCGCUGAUAGAUAGGCAUGCGUUCCAUUAGGCAGUUGGCGGGGUAACGGCCCACCAAACCGACGAUGGAUAGGGGUUCUGAGAGGAAGGUCCCCCACAUUGGUACUGAGACACGGACCAAACUCCUACGGGAGGCAGCAGUGAGGAAUAUUGGUCAAUGGGCGUAAGCCUGAACCAGCCAAGUCGCGUGAGGGAUGAAGGUUCUAUGGAUCGUAAACCUCUUUUAUAAGGGAAUAAAGUGCGGGACGUGUCCCGUUUUGUAUGUACCUUAUGAAUAAGGAUCGGCUAACUCCGUGCCAGCAGCCGCGGUAAUACGGAGGAUCCGAGCGUUAUCCGGAUUUAUUGGGUUUAAAGGGUGCGUAGGCGGCCUUUUAAGUCAGCGGUGGAAGUCUGUGGCUCAACCAUAGAAUUGCCGUUGAAACUGGGAGGCUUGAGUAUGUUUGAGGCAGGCGGAAUGCGUGGUGUAGCGGUGAAAUGCUUAGAUAUCACGCAGAACCCCGAUUGCGAAGGCAGCCUGCCAAGCCAUGACUGACGCUGAUGCACGAAAGCGUGGGGAUCAAACAGGAUUAGAUACCCUGGUAGUCCACGCAGUAAACGAUGAUCACUAGCUGUUUGCGAUACACAGUAA